AACGAACGCUGGCGGCAGGCCUAACACAUGCAAGUCGAACGCUCGUAGCAAUACGAGAGUGGCAGACGGGUGAGUAACACGUGGGAACCUUCCCUAUGGUUCGGAAUAGCCCAGGGAAACUUGGGGUAAUACCGGAUAAGCCCUUACGGGGAAAGAUUUAUCGCCAUUGGAUGGGCCCGCGUCGGAUUAGCUAGUUGGUGGGGUAACGGCCUACCAAGGCGACGAUCCGUAGCUGGUCUGAGAGGAUGAUCAGCCACACUGGGACUGAGACACGGCCCAGACUCCUACGGGAGGCAGCAGUGGGGAAUAUUGGACAAUGGGCGCAAGCCUGAUCCAGCCAUGCCGCGUGAGUGACGAAGGCCUUAGGGUUGUAAAGCUCUUUUGGCGGGGAAGAUAAUGACGGUACCCGCAGAAUAAGCUCCGGCUAACUUCGUGCCAGCAGCCGCCGUAACAC
rnacentral:rRNA from 1 species